rnacentral:rRNA from 1 species
UACGGAGGGUGCAAGCGUUAUCCGGAUUCACUGGGUUUAAAGGGUGCGUAGGCGGGCAGGUAAGUCAGUGGUGAAAUCUCCGAGCUUAACUCGGAAACUGCCGUUGAUACUAUUUGUCUUGAAUAUUGUGGAGGUAAGCGGAAUAUGUCAUGUAGCGGUGAAAUGCUUAGAUAUGACAUAGAACACCAAUUGCGAAGGCAGCUUACUACACAACGAUUGACGCUGAGGCAUGAAAGCGUGGGGAUCAAACAGG